GACGAACGCUGGCGGCGUGCUUAACACAUGCAAGUCAAACGGUAAGGCCCUUCGGGGUACACGAGUGGCGAACGGGUGAGUAACACGUGGGUGAUCUGCCCUGCACUUCGGGAUAAGCCUGGGAAACUGGGUCUAAUACCGGAUAGGACUCCUGCCUGCAUGGGUGGGGGUGGAAAGCUUUUGCGGUGUGGGAUGGGCCCGCGGCCUAUCAGCUUGUUGGUGGGGUGAUGGCCUACCAAGGCGACGACGGGUAGCCGGCCUGAGAGGGUGACCGGCCACACUGGGACUGAGAUACGGCCCAGACUCCUACGGGAGGCAGCAGUGGGGAAUAUUGCACAAUGGGCGCAAGCCUGAUGCAGCGAUGCCGCGUGAGGGAUGACGGCCUUCGGGUUGUAAACCUCUUCAGCACAGACGAAGCGCAAGUGACGGUAUGUGCAGAAGAAGGACCGGCCAACUACGUGCCAGCCGCCGCCGUAA
rnacentral:rRNA from 1 species